GUGUGCUUGUGAUAGCCAUCCCCAGAUACAUACUCAACACCUCCUGUGCCAUGCUCUGGGUGGUGUGCGGGGAUCCAUCCAUACGUGGAACAGACUGCCUGCCCUCAUGAAGCUUGCAUUCUAGGGGAUCUACAUCUAACAAAACACGUAACAGGGCUCGGAGUACGUCAGAUGUGAACAAGUGCCAUGGAGAACAAGAAAGAAAAUAAGCAACGAGAUGAGGAAGUCACAAAACAAGUAAUGUGGAUAAUUGGAGGACGAAUAUUUCAAGCCCAGAAAACAUCAGGUUCUCAGAUUCUGAGGGGAGCUGAGGUGGAUGAACCUAGAGCCUGUUAUACAGAGUGAGGUUAUAAAAAGUCCAAAGCCAAGAGGAAUGCAGAAUGCCUCCAGCCAGUAUGAUAUUUGGAUAAAAAAUAUAGAAUUCAU